UCGACGGGAAUCUUCGGAUUCUAGUGGCGGACGGGUGAGUAACGCGUAAGAAUCUAACUUCAGGACGGGGACAACAGUUGGAAACGACUGCUAAUACCCGAUAUGCCGCAAGGUGAAACCUAAUUGGCCUGGAGAAGAGCUUGCGUCUGAUUAGCUAGUUGGUGGGGUAAGAGCCUACCAAGGCGACGAUCAGUAGCUGGUCUGAGAAGAUGAGCAGCCACACUGGGACUGAGACACGGCCCAGACUCCUACGGGAGGCAGCAGUGGGGAAUUUUCCGCAAUGGGCGAAAGCCUGACGGAGCAACGCCGCGUGAGGGAGGAAGGUCUUUGGAUUGUAAACCUCUUUUCUCAAGGAAGAAGUUCUGACGGUACUUGAGGAAUCAGCCUCGGCUAACUCCGUGCCAGCAGCCGCGGUAAUACGGGGGAGGCAAGCGUUAUCCGGAAUUAUUGGGCGUAAAGCGUCCGCAGGUGGUCAGCCAAGUCUGCCGUCAAAUCAGGUUGCUUAACGACCUAAAGGCGGUGGAAACUGGCAGACUAGAGAGCAGUAGGGGUAGCAGGAAUUCCCAGUGUAGCGGUGAAAUGCGUAGAGAUUGGGAAGAACAUCGGUGGCGAAAGCGUGCUACUGGGCUGUAUCUGACACUCAGGGACGAAAGCUAGGGGAGCGAAAGGGAUUAGAUACCCCUGUAGUCCUAGCCGUAAACGAUGGAUACUAGGCGUGGCUUGUAUCGACCCGAGCCGUGCCGAAGCUAACGCGUUAAGUAUCCCGCCUGGGGAGUACGCACGCAAGUGUGAAACUCAAAGGAAUUGACGGGGGCCCGCACAAGCGGNGG
rnacentral:rRNA from 1 species